CAGCAGCCGCGGUAAUACGUAGGUCCCGAGCGUUGUCCGGAUUUAUUGGGCGUAAAGCGAGCGCAGGCGGUUAGAUAAGUCUGAAGUGAAAGGCAGUGGCUCAACCGUUGUAGGCUUUGGAAACUGUUUAACUUGAGUGCAGAAGGGGAGGGUGGAAUUCCAUGUGUAGCGGUGAAAUGCGUAGAUAUAUGGAGGAACACCGGUGGCGAAAGCGGCUCUCUGGUCUGUCACUGACGCUGAGGCUCGAAAGCGUGGGUAGCGAACAGGAUUAGAUACCCCCGUAGUCCCUGUCUCUUAUACA
rnacentral:rRNA from 1 species